CGGGGUGUAGCGCAGCUUGGUAGCGCAACUGGUUUGGGACCAGUGGGCCGCGGGUUCAAAUCCUGCCACCCCGACCA
rnacentral:tRNA from 16 species